rnacentral:rRNA from 1 species
CAGAGGGUGCGAGCGUUAAUCGGAAUUACUGGGCGUAAAGGGCGCGUAGGCGGUUAUAUAAGUUAGAUGUGAAAUCCCUGGGCUUAACCUAGGAACUGCAUUUAAUACUGUAUGACUCGAGUGCAGUAGAGGGUAGUGGAAUUUCCGGUGUAGCGGUGAAAUGCGUAGAUAUCGGAAGGAACACCAGUGGCGAAGGCGGCUACCUGGACUGACACUGACGCUGAGGCGCGAGAGCGUGGGUAGCAAACAGGAUUAGAUACCCUGGUAGUCCACGCUGUAAACGAUGAGGACUAGAUGUUGGUAGGCUUGACCUAUUAGUAUCGUAGCUAACGCGACAAGUUCUCCGCCUGGGGAGUACGGCCGCAAGGUUA